AUGCCCAGCCCCUCAAUCAGUGGGCAGAUCAGCACCUGGAUGUCUCUUCUACCACUCCGUCGCCAGCCCACAAGUUGGAGCUGUCCUCUGCGGGCCGUCAGCGAUGCCACUAUGCCUGGGCCCACGAUGACAUCUCUACUCUCACAGCCUCCAAUCUCCUCAAGCGCUAUGCUGAGAAGUACUCAGGUGUCCUCAACUCUCCCUAUGACAGGCCUGCCCUGGGUGGAUAUGCUGAAGCCACCUUUGGGGCCAUCAAUGGGGCCAAAGGGAGAUGCGGAGUCCUGGCCUGGAACACCUGGGACAGAGCCGCCAUACCCAGUUACCUCCCUCCAUGAGGGUCUCCCAGGAACGAAGUCAGCCAGUGGGGGUGUGGGAGGGGGGCCAGGAGGCCUAGGAGGGUCUCCCGUAUUAUCCGGGAGUCUUCCUGAACCUCUAUACACUGGCAAUGCCUGUGGGGGGCCGUCUGGAGGGCCAGAGUAUGGUCCUGGAUAUGGUGGGGGGUACCUUGCCACUGGGUACUGUGGGCAAGCAAGUGCAGCUCUGCCCCCACCACCCUCAGCAGGGCUCCUCCAGCCACCUCCUCCCCCUGGCUAUGGCCCCUCCAGCUCCCUGUACAACUACCCCUCAGGGGGCUACCCAGCCCAGCCUGGAUUUGGGGGCCUCCCCCCACCCCCACCCCCUGCCCCUUACCUUUCCUCGGGUCUGGCAACACCCACCCCCUUGCCCCCACCAGCCCCUGCCCCACCAACACCUGCAGCCUACAGUUUCCAGCCUCCCCCACCAGGGAGCGAGCCAGGCAUUUCACUAAAGCGCAAGGCAUUUGAUGAAGGUGGGGAAGGCCGAUACCACAAGUAUGGUUAUGAGCCCACCAAACCCCCCAUCCCCGAUGGUCCCCCCUACCCUCCUUCAAACAACAAUGGUGAAUGCCAAGGCAACGGUUUCCGAGGGAAGCUGCCAGGGACCAGGGAGGAGGUGUUGGGAAAGUACGGUGGUAGUGGGGGUCCUUCUCUUAAGGUGCUGGGCUCUCCAGCCUACACCCCACACCAAGAGUCCUUUGAGAAGUUCCCAGAGCGGGUGUCUGUGGAGCGAGGGCUGGCUCCACCCUCUCGGGGGGGGCUUUGCUGUCCCGGGGGAGCCUCCCAAGGGUGUGGACCCUGUGGCUCUGGAGCUAGUGACCAGCAAGAUGGUGGACUGUGGCCCCCCAGUGCAAUGGGCUGA
rnacentral:lncRNA from 1 species